UACGGGGGGGGCAAGCGUUGUUCGGAAUUACUGGGCGUAAAGGGCUCGUAGGCGGCCAACUAAGUCGGACGUGAAAUCCCCAGGCUCAACCUGGGAACUGCGUCCGAUACUGGAUGGCUUGAAUUCGGGAGAGGGAUGCAGAAUUCCAGGUGUAGCGGUGAAAUGCGUAGAUAUCUGGAGGAAUACCAGUGGCGAAGGCGGCAUCCUGGACCGACAUUGACGCUGAGGAGCGAAAGCUAGGGGAGCAAACAGG
rnacentral:rRNA from 1 species